AGAGCGAACGCUGGCGGCAGGCUUAACACAUGCAAGUCGAGCGGGCGUAGCAAUACGUCAGCGGCAGACGGGUGAGUAACGCGUGGGAACGUACCUUUGGUUCGGAACAACCCAGGGAAACUUGGGCUAAUACCGGAUAAGCCCUUACGGGGAAAGAUUUAUCGCCGAAAGAUCGGCCCGCGUCUGAUUAGCUAGUUGGUGAGGUAAUGGCUCACCAAGGCGACGAUCAGUAGCUGGUCUGAGAGGAUGAUCAGCCACAUUGGGACUGAGACACGGCCCAAACUCCUACGGGAGGCAGCAGUGGGGAAUAUUGGACAAUGGGCGCAAGCCUGAUCCAGCCAUGCCGCGUGGGUGAUGAAGGCCCUAGGGUUGUAAAGCCCUUUCGGCGGGAAGAUAAUGACGGUACCCGCAGAAGAAGCCCCGGCUAACUUCGCGCCAGCAGCCGC
rnacentral:rRNA from 1 species